UACGUAGGGACCAAGCGUUGUUCGGAUUUACUGGGCGUAAAGGGCGCGUAGGCGGCAAUUCAAGUCAUCUGUGAAAUCUCCGGGCUUAACUCGGAACGGUCAGAUGAUACUGCUUUGCUAGAGUGCGGAAGGGGCAAUCGGAAUUCUUGGUGUAGCGGUGAAAUGCGUAGAUAUCAAGAGGAACACCUGAGGUGAAGACGGGUUGCUGGGCCGACACUGACGCUGAUGCGCGAAAGCCAGGGGAGCAAACGGG
rnacentral:rRNA from 2 species